rnacentral:tRNA from 1 species
GGGGCCGUAGCUCAGUUGGGAGAGCGCUAGAAUCGCACUCUAGAGGUCACGGGUUCGACUCCCGUCGGCUCCACCA